AAAGCCUAUCAUUGGCCACAACACAAGCCCUAUGAGGCCCCCCAUGGGGAAUGGGCACUUCAGUUCGCCAUUCCUUCUCUAUCGCCUCCCCAUCCUUCACUGCAAUACUCCAGUGAUCCACUCCAGGCGUGUGGCGAUUUUCCUUGCUGCCACCUAUAACAUGGAGUCUGCCUCUCCAUAACUGAGUUGCAGGAGCAUACCUUGGUGCUGGUAAUGGAGGCAUGCUCCGCCAUUUCUUUGUCUCAGUGUCCAGGGAAAAAGUACGGGUUAUGGCUGUUCUGCACUGGGGACCAUAUUGUCCUGAGACAAUGUAUAUGUAUCUUCCAUCAGUUGCAAUCCCUAGAUGUGAAUGUGCCAUGUCUUUUGGGAUAUCAAAACUCUCUCCCCAUGUAUUAUCAGUAAAAUUGUAUACAUCAACAUGUGAGUG
rnacentral:misc_RNA from 1 species